CCCAACAUCAAGCCCAACAGAUUACAAAGGUAGCAAACCCAUGGAUUCUCAAAAGACAAACAAAAAAAAAAAAAAAAACCCAAUACAGAGCAAAUCACUUACGCAAACCUAAAGACAAAAACGUCAACAGAGCAACGCCUUACGCCUCAGGCUCAAGCCAACAGAUGGAGAUCAAUCACGUCGCUCGCUCAUAUUUGGAGAUUGAUCACAUCAUUGGAGAUCGAUCUUGUCCAGAGCACAUCACUGCAUCAGAGAUCGGUCAUGACACUUGCUCGUCGUCGUUGCUCGCUCGCUGAUCGGAGAUCGCUCGUCGCUCACCCCUCAUUGGAGAUCGCUCGUCACUACCUUAGCCUCAGCCUUCAGGCCUCCCUGCUCCGAUGCUCCCUCAAGCUGGCUCUUAUGAUUGGAGGCAUCAGGCAUGAAGCUUGUCCAUUGAGUGGGGUGGGGGGUGGAUGGGCACAUGGGGCCAGGUAAACAAUAACUAAAGCAGUGUAAUGUGCACAUGGGAUGUGUGCUAGUGCAACUAAUAAACAAUAAUUUAAUUGACACUUGUUUUGAAAGAGAAUAAGUCAACAUUUUAAUUUUGAAAUGGUCUAGUAAUAUGCAAGGUGAUAUCAAUGGUCUCAAAACUUUAAUUUUGAAAAAGAAUAAGUCAGCAUUUUAUGUCCAUUAUUUUGCUCAUCAACUUCAAUUGACACUUGUUGCCAUUGCUAAAAAUCACAUUAACAUUGUUGAAUUUUUUUAUGUGGUUAGUAAUUUAGUAACUGUUGUUGGAUGCUCUUGUAAGAGACGAGAGGCUCUUCGAGAUGCACAAUUUGCCAAAAUUAAAGAAGAUUUAGAGAAUGGUGUACGUAGAAGUGGGCAAGGUUUGAAUCAAGAGACAAAUCUUAAACGUCCUAGUGAUACACGUUGGGGAUCAUAUUAUGGGACUAUUCUCAACUUGAUUUUGAUUUUCUCUGCUGUUGUUGAUGUACUUGAGAUUAUUGAAUAAGAUGGUCUCUCUAACCAAAAAGUUGAAGCUUGAUCUAUUAUGAGGUCAAUUCUAUC